GAUGAACGCUGGCGGCGUGCCUAAUACAUGCAAGUAGUACGCUGAAGGAGGAGCUUGCUCUUCUGGAUGAGUUGCGAACGGGUGAGUAACGCGUAGGUAACCUGCCUGGUAGCGGGGGAUAACUAUUGGAAACGAUAGCUAAUACCGCAUGACAACAGUUAUUGCAUGAUAACUGUUUAAAAGGGGCAACUGCUCCACUACCAGAUGGACCUGCGUUGUAUUAGCUAGUUGGUGAGGUAACGGCUCACCAAGGCGACGAUACAUAGCCGACCUGAGAGGGUGAUCGGCCACACUGGGACUGAGACACGGCCCAGACUCCUACGGGAGGCAGCAGUAGGGAAUCUUCGGCAAUGGACGGAAGUCUGACCGAGCAACGCCGCGGGAGUGAAGAAGGUUUUCGGAUCGUAAAGCUCUGUUGUAAGAGAAGAACGAGUGUGAGAGUGGAAAGUUCACACUGUGACGGUAUCUUACCAGAAAGGGACGGCUAACUACGUG
rnacentral:rRNA from 1 species